rnacentral:lncRNA from 1 species
ACCAAGUGGACAGAGGCAACAAGAUCAAGUUGAUGGUAGAGAUCAGCGACCCAGACCUGCCCCUCAAGUGGUUCAAGAACGGCCAGGAGAUCAAACCAAGCAGCAAGUACGUGUUUGAGAACGUUGGUAAGAAGCGAAUUCUUACCAUCAACAAGUGCACGCUGGCGGAUGACGCUGCCUAUGAAGUAGCUGUCAAGGAUGAGAAGUGUUUCACCGAGCUCUUCGUCAAAGAACCUCCAGUCCUAAUUGUCACACCUCUUGAGGACCAGCAGGUGUUUGUGGGUGACCGGGUGGAAAUGGCAGUGGAGGUGUCAGAA